GUGCACCAGGCGCGAAACUUUACAAUGUGCGAAAGCACGAUAAGGGAACUCUGAGUGCCUCCUAAGGAGGCUGUUCAGGUGUCUAAAAGCACCUGAAGGAAGGGCUGGGUAAGACCGGUGCCAGCCGCCGCGGUAACACCGGCAGCCCAAGUGGUAGCCACGUUUAUUGGGUCUAAAGCGUCCGUAGCCGGCUGGGUAAGUUCCUUGGGAAAUUUGGCUGCUUAACAGUCAAGCUUUCAGGGAAUACUGCCCGGCUUGGGACCGGGAGAGGUCAGAGGUACUCCAGGGGUAGGGUGAAAUCCAUUAAUCCUUGGGGGGCCACCGGUAGCGAAGGCGUCUGACCAGACCGGGUCCGACGGUGAGGGACGAAGGCUAGGGGCGCGAACCGGAUUAGAUACCCGCGUAGU
rnacentral:rRNA from 1 species